rnacentral:lncRNA from 1 species
CUUUUUUGAGGUCUUCCCUCUACUCUGCAGAAUUAAAGAGAUGGUUUAAGUGAUAAACUAUUCCUUAUGAGCUGUAUUUGUGUUGAAAGCACAGCAUGAGUUCCCAGCACGCUUCCUCUAGCACAACCACAGCUAUGCACCAAUCCUCCUGGGUUCAGAGAUGGAACUUGGGUUAAAUGCAUGGAAUUUAUUCUUAGUCCUUUUCUUAAUUACGACUUUUUAUUUCUCUGGUGUUCUCUAGGGGAGGGGUUAGAGAAGAGAGGAAAAGGAAGAAAGAAAGGGGGCAGGGAAAUAUAGAUUCAAUGCUUUUGUUUUGUUUCUGGGCUGCUUGCUAUCAGCAAAGUAGAGAGAUUUAACGGAUCUUGCCGAGAAUGCAAGCCUCAUUCCAAGGAAGCCAGAGCUCAGAAGACAUGGAACAAAUACAAUGAAAACAUAACUUGAGGUCGGAAAAUGUCCCCUGAAUAUUUAUGUCAAUGUCCUACCUUAGUGAAUAUUACUUAAUACUGUGGCUCCUUUAAAGCAUUGUGAUUUCAUUAUGAAGUCAGAUGGAAUGAGGAGUGUGUAAAUCCAGAAUCAGAAUCCCAGCGACGAAGCUUUUCUUGCUCUGUUACCUUGGAAAAUGCUUUGAACCAGACCAGAUAAGAAAAGUAAAAGUCUGGAGUGUAAUCCUUCCAAUUGUCUUUUGGCUUCUCUUCUACUUCUACAAAAAGUUCAACAAAAAUUAGAAUUUGAAACAACGGAAAGAGAGAAAUUUUAGGUUAGUAGCUAAAUCCCCAAGGAUACUAAUUAGAGAAAGAUGUUGGAAUUGCCUUAAUGAGUCACUGCCAACGCAAGUCCUAAGGAAGCAAAGACUGUGAGUAAGCAAAGGUAGCCAGCUGCUGGGAAGAGGACAAUAGAGGAAAAGGUCAGAGGGACUUUAAAAGACUGACUGUGGGCUCCCUGAGGGAAGGAGGGAUGGAGAGAGUAUCGGGUCCUAUAGAAUACCUUAAUUGUUUUUAUGACUUCUCUUUUCCAUAUCCAGUUCACAUGUACUCCUUUCUGUGCAUUAAAUUGAGUUUCUAUUGGCUUCUUUGUAACAAAAAGAACUGAACAGAAACACAUAUCUAUUGGACAAAGAGCAAUAAAAU